UGCUCGCUACAAAAUUCAGGAGAAAAACUGUUAUUUAUUAUUUUCUUGUCUACUUUCUAAAUUAUUUCUGUAAUUAAUCAGUGUGCCAAUGUCUGUAAUCAGUGUGAAACAGGUGCUUCAUGGAAGGUCAGCACAGCAAGCUGUUGCAGGUCAGUGCUGGAGAGAGCAGUCAUCUGGUUUUAAGAGGAAGAGAGGGAAGGCCAAUUUUGAAAGGAAUGAUGAGUAUUUGAGCAUCUACACAAUCUGGGUGACAGUUCUGUCAUUGUGGUUUAUAGCUGACAAAGUUUCAAAGAAAGAGCCUUUUGAAGACCAAAUAAAACUGUCAAUGGCAGCAAAGGGGAGAAAUACAGUAUGGAUGAUAAACAGCAAGAAAGGAGGAAUCUUUAGAACUUCCACCCUACUGCCUCUAAGAAGCACAAGCUAUGAAUUCAGAAAGAGGUACAACACAACCCAUACAAGGGAGAGCAAUCACAACACAGGAAAAGAUUCAGCUUCCAAACUACACUGCACAGACAAGAGAUGAAGCUGCCAAAAAGGAGAUGAACUUUAUGCGACACUACUUCCUCCCUUUCGUAUUUAAACAUGUUCUGAAUAAAAUUAUGAACAGAA